rnacentral:rRNA from 1 species
UACGAAGGGGGCUAGCGUUGUUCGGAUUAACUGGGCGUAAAGGGUGCGUAGGCGGGGUUUUAAGUCAGGGGUGAAAUGCCGAGGCUCAACUUCGGAACUGCCUUUGAUACUGGAACUCUUGAGUCCGGGAGAGGUGAGUGGAACUGCGAGUGUAGAGGUGAAAUUCGUAGAUAUUCGCAAGAACACCAGUGGCGAAGGCGGCUCACUGGCCCGGAACUGACGCUGAGGCACGAAAGCGUGGGGAGCAAACAGG